rnacentral:rRNA from 1 species
AUAUCAAUAAGCGGAGGAAAAGAAACCAACAGGGAUUGCCUCAGUAACGGCGAGUGAAGCGGCAAAAGCUCAAAUUUGAAAUCUGGCUCUUUCAGGGUCCGAGUUGUAAUUUGUAGAAGAUGCUUUGGGGGUGGCUCUGGUUUAAGUUCUUUGGAAUAUUACAUCAUAGAGGGUGAGAAUCCCGUAUGUGACCAGUCGCCGCCCCUGUGUAAAGCUCUUUCAACGAGUCGAGUUGUUUGGGAAUGCAGCUCAAAAUGGGAGGUAUAUUUCUUCUAAAGCUAAAUAUUGGCCAGAGACCGAUAGCGCACAAGUAGAGUGAUCGAAAGAUGAAAAGCACUUUGGAAAGAGAGUUAAACAGUACGUGAAAUUGUUGAAAGGGAAGCGCUUGCAACCAGACUUGCACGCAGUUGAUCAUCCGGUGUUCUCACCGGGGCACUCUGCUGCGUUCAGGCCAGCAUCGUUUCGGGUGGUUGGAUAAAGGCCUUGGGAAUGUAGCUUCUUUCGGGGAGUGUUAUAGCCCUCGGUGCAAUGCAGCCUACCGGGAACGAGGACCGCGCUUCGGCUAGGAUGCUGGCGUAAUGGUUGUAAGCGG